GGCCUCGUGCAUGUGCACGUCCUUGGUUCGGCCGUCCGAGGAAAAAGGGGGGGGAGGGUUUGAUCUUCUUUGACACCUGUGUGCACUCGCUGUAGGUCCUUCGGGAUCUACGUCUUCUUUGGAACUCGCAUGUCUACAGAACGUGUCGCUCGCGUCGCAUCGCCGACCGAGAAAAGGCUAUGAUACAACUUUCAGCGACGGAUCUCUUGGCUCUCGCAUCGAUGAAGGACGCAGCGAAUCGCGAUAAGUAAUGUGAAUUGCAGAUUUUCCGUGAAUCAUCGAAUCUUUGAACGCACCUUGCGCUCCUCGGUAUUCCGAGGAGCAUGCCUGUUUGAGUGUCAUCGAAACCUCGGAUCUUGGGACUUUUGACCCUCGUCGAAAGGCUCUGUCCGGACAGAUGGGAGCUUCUGCGGGCGAAGCUUCGUGCUUUGCCUGCUCUCCUCAAAAGCAUUUAGCUGUGGGCAACGAGACCUUGCAUGGCAAGUCGGCCUCCUCGACGUCGUAACGAUCGUCGUGGGCCGGAAGGCGUGCGGGGGUCCAUGCCUUACCUAGGGUUGUGCAGCCGUCCGUAGGGACGGUCGCACCCGAUCGAAGCUUGACCUCAAAUCANGUAGGACUACCCGCC
rnacentral:rRNA from 1 species